rnacentral:lncRNA from 1 species
GCGAAAAGUUCUGCAACUGUGAAAUGUUUCUGAAUAUGUAACAACCAAAACUUAAUUCAAAGUCCAACAUGUAACAAACUUGAGAAGUUGCUGCUGCACUCUUCCUAUAUCGGAAUGCAGGACUUUGCCACAGCCUUGUCCUGGACCAAAAAGAUGCCUUAUGUACCCUGCAUGCCACCUCGCCACUCAACACUGCCCAAAACACCACCAUCUGGCAGAAGGAACAGGCCUGCUGCUCAGAGGCCUGUGGAGGUAAGAAGUGGGAGAGCCCAGCUGGUAAGAAAUGAUUCGAGGGUCUGGUGCUGGGGAAUCCUGAAGCCACAGAUGUCAGAGGUGGAGGCCAAGUGCCUGCCCACUACAUGGUGACACAGAUCGAAAGGACCCUGAUUCCCAGGAUGCUUCUACAAGCUCCACCCAGUCCUCAAUGCCCUUGUUCUGUAUUAAACAUGAACUGAG